CCCGGGCGCGUCGUACCGUCAGGACGAACGCUGGCGGCGUCGCCUAACUACAUGCAAGUAGAACGCUGAAGAGAGGAGCGUUGCUCUUCUUGGAUGAGUUGCGAACGGGUGAGUAACGCGUAGGUAACCUGCCUUGUAGCGGGGGAGUAACUAUUGGAAACGAUAGCUAAUACCGCAUAACAAUGGAUGACACAUGUCAUUUUAUUUUGUAAAGGGGCGAAAUUGCUCCACUACAAGAUGGACCUGCGUUGUAUUAGCUAGUAGGUGAGGUAAUGGCUCACCUAGGCGACGAUACAUAGCCGACCUGAGAGGGUGAUCGGCCACACUGGGACUGAGACACGGUCCAGACUCCUACGGGAGGGCAGCAGUAGGGAAUCUUCGGCAAUGGGGGCAACCCUGACCGAGCAACGCCGCGUGAGUGAAGAAGGUUUUCGGAUCGUAAAGCUCUGUUGUAAGUCAAGAACGGGUGUGAGAGUGGAAAGUUCACACUGUGACGGUAGCUUACCACGAAAGGGACGGCUAACUACGUGCCGUCGACGCGGCCG
rnacentral:rRNA from 1 species